AGAAUUCAUCCCACACACCAUCCACCACAUCCCGAGCCCCGAUCCCAUUUCUUCCAGCGCGCCGCCACCCCCAACCCCGCCGUCGUGCGCCGUCACCCCCAACCCCGCCGCCGUGCGCAGUCGCCCUCGCCCGACCGCCACGCGCCGCCGCCCUCGCCCGGUCGCCACGUGCCGCCAUCCUCAUCCCCACCACCGGGUGUCGCCGCCCCCAGCCGGACGCGACCGCCGCACCCUUGCUUCCAUCCGCCGCCGCCCCAUGCUUCCAACGCUCGCCCCUCCACCCCCACCGGCCCUCUUCCCCAGCGCGCCACCAGGCCCUCCCCCACCGCCAUCUUCCACGCGCCGCCGUCGCUAGUCCCCUGCCCAGCGUGCUGGGGGCCCUUCGCGUCCCAUCUCCGGCAACGAGCUGCCCCCGCUGGACCUCGAGCGCAGCCGCCCCUCCGACUAUGCCAAGUUCAUCAGUCCGUCAGUUCGCCGGUAGGAUCCGCAGGGGGAAACUGAUUCUGAACAUCUUGCGAGGCUCCCUACUAGAUGUCGGUGCCGGAGGGUAACGGACACCGUUGUCUCCCCACGCCCAUAGACUUCUCUUCUCUCCUGCAAUGCAAGCUGUGAGGGAGCAUUACUUGCAUCUGAAUUGGCUGAUUGCAUUGUUAAACUCUGGGAUGUUGCGUCUAGCACAAAGGCCCUGAAGAUGGAUGACACGGACGUGUGGAGCGAGCACUUUGGCAACGGAAAAAUGAAAACAAAAUGCAGGUGUUCGUCGCAUGUGUCUGUUCAACGAGGGCUUCGGUGACGGUCCGCUGCUGGUGGCCGCCUCACCAUGGUUAAGUUUGGCGUAGUCGCAUGUGUCGCUUGCUGUUGUGGCCGUCUCCAGGGUACGUCCAACGACAAUGAGCAGGCAUCAAGUGUAUUGAUGAGCAGCGAGACGGUGGCAUGGAGUAGUUGAGUAGUGCUUAUAAGCUUGACAUCUUUGAUGAAUCCAGCCCGAACUAAAGCCUAUCGGUGAGCCGAGCGCUGGGCCAACCACUGUCGUCUGUCUACCUCCUUCCCGGGUGAGCCCAUGCUCUUCUGCUCUUGACGCUUGAGCCGCCUCCAAUUCUUUUCUCUGUUCGAAAAUUCCCAAAGCAUCAGUACUUUGUAUCAGGAUACACCAUGUUAUUUCUGCAAAUUUCCAUUAUGCUUGUAUGUCCAAAAUGUGUGCAUUUACUACUGUUGAUUUGUUGUAGUGCAGAUAAGUUACCCUGUUGCGGGCUGACCUGGAGGCGGCUCCUCCAUGUCGACACAAUUGCAGGACCAACGUGCUAUUGAUCACGCAAGCUUCCUCAAGGAGCUUGUGCCCAACGAUACUAAAAGGAAAAAUUGCUCGAGUAUUGAACUACUUAUUCAGUCAUGCUAUUACUGAGUGAAAAUGGAGUGAAAGUGUAUUGCAAUUGAUCUCUCUUAAACCCUAUCAAUCCUCUAUCUAUCCUUUCUUUGCUUGUUUUUUGGUCUGUAAUUCAAGAAGUUUGACCUUUGUAAUUUGGUUUUUGGUUAAUUUGUUAUGCCCAGUACAAACCAUUAAAUCUGAAGAGGCUUCUAAUAGCAA